GCGGAAGUAGUUCAGUGGUAGAACAUCACCUUGCCAAGGUGGGGGUCGCGAAUUCGAAUCCCGUCUUCCGCUCCA
rnacentral:tRNA from 1 species